AUCUCUUGGUACAUGAGUGGCUACCACACUGGCUACUAUAUGGGUUUCAGACAAAAUAAAAAAGAAGGAAAGUGCUCACAUACAAAUUAAGAAGUUCAGCUCUGUCUCAGGAGAUGGGGUGUCGGUGUCCCUGGUCGACAAGAACAGACGUCUCCUCGUCAUCAGUGGACUCUUGGCUAAGUGGUGUCGUCAUCAGCAUCUCCCCGCUGUGGGAGUCCAUCCAUCCUAAGUCAGCAGCAGAGCGUGCCUGGGGCGUGAGCAGUUGGAGGGACCGACCAGUGGAGUAGUGAUGAUUCUGACAUUUGGGAUGAUACAGCAUUGAUAAAAGCUUAUGAUAAAGCUGUGGCUUCCUUUAAGCAUGCUCUAAAGAACGGUGACAUUUGUGAAACUCCAGAUAAGCCAAAAGGCACAGCCAGAAGAAAACCUGCCAAGAAGAAUAAAAGCCAAAAGAAGAAUGCCACAACUCCCUUGAAACAGUGGAAAGUUGGUGACAAGUGUUCUGCUGUUUGGUCAGAAGACGGCUGCACUUACCCAGCUACUAUUACGUCCAUUGACUUUAAGAGAGAAACCUGUGUCGUGGUUUAUACUGGAUAUGGAAACAGAGAGGAGCAAAACUUAUCUGACCUACUUUCCCCGACCUGUGAAGUAGCUAAUAGUACAGAACAGAACACUCAGGAGAAUGAAAGUCAAGUUUCCACAGACGACAGUGAACACUCCUCCAGAUCGCUCAGAAGUAAAGCACACAGCAAGUCCAAAGCUGCUCCGUGGACCUCAUUUCUUCCUCCACCACCCCCAAUGCCAGGGUCAGGAUUAGGACCAGGAAAGCCAGGUCUAAAAUUCAACGGCCCGCCGCCGCCGCCUCCACUACCCCCUCCCCCCUUCCUGCCGUGCUGGAUGCCCCCGUUCCCUUCAGGACCACCAAUAAUCCCGCCACCCCCUCCCAUCUCUCCCGACUGUCUGGAUGACAC
rnacentral:sRNA from 1 species